AUGGCUGGGGAAAAUAGAUUUUAGUCACUCUGAGCCUAAAGAAUUAUCUUUCUAUGGUCUGUUGGCCAUUUCAGAACUUUGGAAAUGUAAUGGUCAAUUCAUUAGAAAGAAACAGUA
rfam:Otolemur garnettii contig096629, whole genome shotgun sequence.